CCAAUCAUUUUCGAAACGGAUUUGUGAUAAAAUGUCCAUCAUCUCUGAAAUGGCAGAGGUGGUUGGUAAGAGCCUGCCAGAGAGAACAGGCUUUCCAAGAAAUAACCAUCUGAAAAUACUUGGCUCCCAGGAGGACAGGUUAUUUAAAAUAGUGCUUUACUGGACAUUUAAAACACAUCAAACCGCUUUCUCAUUUAAAUUGUCACCUCCUGACAUUUCCGGGGAUCCCAAAUUUGGAAGGAAAAACCUAGCAUGGUGUUUCUUGUGGUUGUCCUCUCAAGCACAUUUGAUCCAGGGUUCAGAGUUCGAUGUAUAGAGAAAGAGUGUUUCUAAGCCAUUGACAAUUUUCUUUAUUUCAAGUUGUGCUUCUUUCUCCUACCACAUGGCUGUAAGUCAAAGAUGUGGAAACAUGAAAUUAUGAUGCUUCUCCUAGCUACUGGCCUCCUGCCCCACUAAUGGUUAAUUGGCCCAGCUUAAAGCCUGGUGGUGAUGAGUACUAUGUCCAGAAAAAGAAAUGUUCAGAUUCCGUGACAAAGCUGCAUUUUAUAAAAAUAUCGGAGACCCCAAAAUGAACUUCAUGCUGACCAUUUCCUUCUCCCUUCUAUGUGCUUUCCCUUGCAAAGCCCUUCAAAUCCCCUGUCUCCUCCCCUCCUGCACCUCUUGUGCCCUUUUUACAUCUUAGAUUGCCUGAUUAUAACAGGGUAAAAAGAAAGCCAACCUCACGCACGAUUUGCAGAACUGAUUCCUACUUUUAAAAAAUCUUCUUUGAAUCCAGAAGCCAGAGAAGAUUUUUUUAGGGGCUUUAGUUUGGGAUAAAGCUUCCAGAUUAGCCAUGUCUAUUUGCAUCAAAGGGGAAAUAAAUGGGACUUUCAGGGCAGCUCACCUAGUGCAUUCAGAACAUUCCGCCCAUAGCCCCCAUGCCUGAAUUUGAUGGCAAAGUCAAAAGAAAUUAACUCAACCGGCAACAAUGACAACAUCUUAGUGAUCAGUUUCAUUGGUUCAAAGUGAUUUCCUCGAUGGAAGUCGCUUCAUAAAAUAUAAAAUACAGUGCACAGUGCUUUUGUCCUCUCUUUUGCAUGAGUUUGGUUUUAGGAGAAGGAAGAAGGUAGGGAAAGUCAGAGAGAUGCAACGUAUUUAACUGCAAAAAGCAGGUUCAUUCUUUCUUUCUUUUUAAAAGAUCUGACGAGGGCCGGCAUUUCUGGCCAUAAUUUUGCACCCGGAUCUUUGCCAAAGUGAAAAUUCGUUAAGUGGAACCUGUUUGAAAUGUACUUGUGGAAGCUUUCCCUGGCAUCUUCCAGAAGUGGCCACCUGCCAAGCGUGGGGUGGGGGCAGGAGGAGAGAAUUCGAAUUCUGAGUCUGGGUUACAUUUCGGUAAACAUGGUGAUAUCUCAGUUUGGAAAACUAGUGGGGCUGGCCUGAGCGUCCAUCAAUGCCUCUUUGAUGGCCUACUUUCCUCAGUGAGGAUCUUUGGGAAUACUUGAGAUAGAACAACAAAAAUGUGUCCAAGGAAACAAAAACUGCUUGUAAAUGUGAGAUCCUGUGACUAAUGGCCUGAGGCUUCAGGGUUUUCUCUUGCUUUUAACACUCUUAUGUCCCCUCUGCUGGUUCCUAAUAGAUCCCGGAAGGAACAGGGGGAAAAUCAAGCUGCAAUUCACUUUCUUAUGCGCGCCCUUCCAAUAGAGUACUGUAUUCUUCAGGUGUUUUGCAUUUGCGUUUGUAAGUCCUCGGGAAACAGGUAUCAGAAAAUGGGAGAGCGAAAUCCUGGGCCAUCACUUCACUAAUAUCCCAAACCAGAUACUCUUUUCAAACAGGGCUCCCUCUCAGCGGUCAUGAGGGAAGGGUGAUAACGUUCUUUGUUGGGGACUGUUUAUACAAUUUUUUUCAACUGUAAGCUUUGGAAUCGUAAAUUGCUUUGACUCCAGCUUCUGUCUACUGCCAUAAAAUGGACCCCACGUCAGAAUAAUGAGGGUGGUAUGUGUGCACAUGCCAUGCACGUGUGCAGAUGUACCUAUUGUACCUUCGCAGAAGGAAAACAGGCUACUGAUGUUUAAGAGGAGUAGCCACCAGUGCCUAAUAUCUUUUGGGGGGGAUGGAUGCUUAUAAUGCCAGUAUAUUGAAACCACACUGGGAGUUCCACAUGGAGGGGAGGGGCGGAGGGUGGGGAGAGGGGACAUUUUAAUCCUAGGCCUUUGGACUGGAGGCAGAAUGAUUUCUGCAAAUCUAGCUCCUGAAAGGCUUUGGGGCUCAUUGGCUGGUUCUCAAACUUUUGAUUUGAUUUUAGUUUUUUCCAGCAUGCAUUUCCUAUCUAAACCCAGACUUGGUUUAAUUUCCUUAUCUUUCACUUCUGCUUCAUUCCAGGGAGGAAAAAUACACCUAUUAUGGCCAAGAUCUCCUUGCUAACACAGAGGCAAAAAUAAAUGUUUAAUGUUUUUGCAGCCUCCCCUUCCUUUCCGUAAAUACCCCCCAAACCCCCUUCUCUCUCAUCACUCUGUCCCCAUUCCCGCCACACAACUCCCCAGCCACCACCACUUUGCUUUCCAGUCUCUAUUCUCCUCUUAACAGUUGCUUGAAGAAAUUUGUUUUUGCACUAUACAUUUUCUUUUUGCCAGAUGUGUCUAACAAGUGUGUUCGGAGAGACCUCCUCCCAGUCCCCUCCCCUCCCCCGCCUCCCCCGGUCACAUUCUCUCAGGCCUUCUCUGGUAUUUAUAAUAUAUCACAGAAGUACCCAGUCUUAUAGCCCUCGGUUAUGCCUUUUUUUGACAUUUUAUUUUUUUUAAGCUUUUUAUAUAUAUAUAUAAAUAUAUUACUUUGUCAAGUUUUUUUGCUGUACAAAAGUCUUAAGAUUUAAAACUAUUAUUUGUAUUAUAUGAUGGUGGUAUGUUAAUGUUACAAAAUUAUUAAUGAAGAAAAAAUUUAUUUUUGUUACUGGUCUGUUUCAUAAUUCUUUUUUAAAUUGGUAUAUUGUAAGAUAUCUAUGCAAAAAAUGUUAUGUGACGCAUUUUUAUUUAAGAAUGUAAUAUGUGUAAUAAACAGUAGAAUGUG
rnacentral:lncRNA from 1 species